rnacentral:rRNA from 1 species
AGUAAUUUUAAUUUAUUGAUAUUUUAUUGGGGGUUAAAGUAUUAUUUAAAGAAAAAAUUUACAAGUUUAUAGUUAAUUAGUAUUGUGAAAGAAUUUUGAAAUAAUUUGAAAAUGAAUUAAUUAAAAAGUAAUUUUUAUUUAAUGUAUCUUGUGUAUCAGAGUUUAUUAAAAAUUUUUAAUUUAUAUUUUAAUUUCUCGAAUUUAAAAGAGUUAAAUAAUUAUAAAAGUUAAUGUAGCAAAAUUAUUUUUAAUAGUUAUUUUGAAAUGAAAUGUUAAUCGUUUUUAAAUAUAUCUAGUUUUUUUAGAAAAAAAUUUAAUUUUAAAUUUAUUUUUCAUGAUUUUAAUUAAUUAAAAUCAUGAAAAAUAUAAAUUUUAUAUUUUAAGGGAUAAGCUUUAAAUUAAAUUUUUAUAAUAAUUAAUUUUUAUUUUAAAAUUUUUAGAAUUUAUAUUGUUAAUAAAUUUUAUUUUAUUAUAAAUAAUUUUAUUUUAAUUAAAAUUUAAAAAUUUUAUUUAAAUUUUUAUAAAAAAAUAUAUUUUAAUUUAAAAAAUUUAAAAAUAAUGAUAAAAUUAGUAUAUUACAAAAUUAUUAAUAAUUAAAAUUUAAUUUAUUAAUUUAAUUAAGUAAAAGUAAUUCGGCAAAUAUUUAUUUUCACUUGUUUAUCAAAAACAUGUCUUUUUGUUGUUUAUUUAAAGUCUAAUCUGCCCACUGAUUUAUAAUUGAAGGGCUGCAGUAUUUUGACUGUACAAAGGUAGCAUAAUCAUUAGCUUCUUAAUUGGUGGCUUGUAUGAAAGAUUGGAUGAGAAAUAUACUGUCUCUUACUUAAUUUAUAGAAUUUAAUUUUUUAUUUAAAAAGUUAAAAUAAUUUAAAAAGACGAGAAGACCCUAUAGAGUUUUAUAAAUAAGUUUAUAAAAUAUAGUUUAUAUAAUUAAAAUUUUUAUAAAUUUAUUUAUUUUGUUGGGGUGAUAGAAAAAUAUAUUAAACUUUUUUUAUAAAAUUAACAUAAAUAAGUGAUUAAUUGAUCCAAUACUAUUGAUUAUAAGAUUAAAUUACCUUAGGGAUAACAGCGUAAUUUUUUUUUUUAGUUCAAAUAAGAAAAAGAGUUUGCGACCUCGAUGUUGGAUUAAGAUAAAAUUUAAAUGCAAAAGUUUAAAGUUUUUGAUCUGUUCGAUCAUUAAAAUCUUACAUGAUCUGAGUUCAAACCGGUGUGAGCCAGGUUGGUUUCUAUCUUUUAAAUUUUAAAAUAUUUUAGUACGAAAGGAUCAAAUAUUUUAAUUAAAUUGUUAUUAAUGAAUUUUAUUAAUU